AACUUCUGCACGUAGCAUAUGAACCUAUGGAAAUUGAAGAAAAAUUAGUAGAAUGCAAAAAUCCCAAGGAAGCAAUGGGUGAUGCAACAGAUGACAUGAGUGUCCUACUUAAUUGGGAAAUGAACCUAUUUCAACUUAGGAAGCAGACCCUUAUGCAGAUCUCUUUCGAAUGCUGCAGCUGAACAUGCAUGUACUAUUACUCCAGACAGUUUAGAACACAGAUGGAUUCCUAUGUCCAUAAAACUAAGAAUAAAAGAAAU